GCCUAAUACAUGCAAGUCGAACGGUCUUUCUAUGGAAGCUUGCUUCCACUGAGAAGAUAGUGGCGAACGGGUGAGUAACACGUGGGUAACCUGCCCAUAAGAGGGGGGAUAACAUCCGGAAACGGGUGCUAAUACCGCAUAGUUUUCUUGAUUGCAUGAUUGAGAAAGGAAAGACGGCCUUUGUGCUGUCGCUUAUGGAUGGACCCGCGGCGUAUUAGUUAGUUGGUGAGGUAACGGCUCACCAAGACGAUGAUACGUAGCCGACCUGAGAGGGUGAUCGGCCACAUUGGGACUGAGACACGGCCCAAACUCCUACGGGAGGCAGCAGUAGGGAAUCUUCCGCAAUGGACGAAAGUCUGACGGAGCAACGCCGCGUGAGUGAAGAAAAGGUUUUCGGAUCGUAAAACUCUGUUGUCAGAGAAGAACAAGUUGGAGAGUAACUGCUCCAGCCUUGACGGUAUCUGACCAGAAAGCCACGGCUAACUACGUGCCAGCAGCCGC
rnacentral:rRNA from 1 species